rnacentral:rRNA from 1 species
GAUGAACGCUGACGGAAUGCUUAACACAUGCAAGUCUUUGGCGAAGCUGUGCUUGCACAGCCUAGCCAAGGCGGACGGGUGAGUAACGCGUAAGGAACUUGCCCUGCAGUCAGGGAUAACAGACGGAAACGACUGAUAAGACCUGGUAAAGUCAGGCGGACUCAUGUCCAGCCUGAUGAAAAGAGAUGCUGCAGGAGAGCCUUGCGUCCUAUUAGCUUGUUGGUGGGGUAACGGCCCACCAAGGCGAUGAUAGGUAGCCGGCCUGAGAGGGUGGACGGCCACAAGGGGACUGAGAUACGGCCCUUACUCCUACGGGAGGCAGCAGUGGGGAAUAUUGGACAAUGGGGGCAACCCUGAUCCAGCAAUUCUGUGUGCACGAUGAAGGUUUUCGGAUUGUAAAGUGCUUUCAGCAGGGAAGAAAAAAUGACGGUACCUGCAGAAGAAGCGGCGGCUAAAUACGUG